CCCUUAGAUGUUCUGGGCCGCACGCGUGCUACACUGAGUGGAUCAGCGGGUCAGGUUGCGCGAAAGUGUUUCCUAAUCUUGAAAUCCGCUCGUGAUGGGGAUUGACGGUUGCAAUUUUCCGUCAUGAACGAGGAAUACCUUGUAAGCGCGGGUCAUCAUCCCGCGCUGAAUACGUCCCUGCCCUUUGUACACACCGCCCGUCGCUCCUACCGAUUGAGUGUGUUGGUGAGGAGUUUGGAUUGGCCUCGGAAGGUGGUUCGCCACCGUCCGUAGCUGAGAAGUUCUCCAAACCGCCCCACUUAGAGGAAGGAGAAGUCGUAACA
rnacentral:rRNA from 1 species